UAUGUUUUUUUAUUCCCUUCUGUUUAAUUUUAGUGGGUUAAAAGUGAAUACUUCAUCCUCUGUAUUUUCCAACUCUUAUCUCUACGUGUUCGCAAACAUCACCAUUAGAUGAUAAGUAGAAGACAAAACUUACAGCCAAAUAGCCAAAACUUAUCUCUCUCCAAAACAUUUGGUCCAUACGAUAAAGCAAGAAGAAGAAUUAAGAAGACGAGGAAGAAGAAGAACAAGAUGAAGCAUGAAAUGAGGAACAUCAAGCCUCGAUGGAUAACACUCUUCUUUCUUCUCUUUGGUUUGCUUCUUGGAAAUUGUGCAGUUCAAGCCUCAAGAGCUCGUGUUAUCGCAGAUACGGUCUCACUUCCCUCACAAAUACAUCGCCUGAAUUUAAGGAGGCUUAUGAUAGGAUCGACGGCUCCAACUUGUACUUACAAUGAGUGCAGAGGAUGUAGAUACAAAUGCAGAGCUGAGCAAGUCCCGGUCGAAGGCAAUGAUCCUAUCAACAGUGCUUAUCAUUAUAGAUGUGUUUGUCAUAGAUAAUAAUGAUAAUCUUUUCUUUUUGCACUUCCACUGCAAUUUUUGUAUCGAGUUAAUUGCAUUUUCUCUUUUAAACGAGAUAUUUUGGUCAACAUUAUUGCUUCAUCUUUUUCAAUUUAUAGGAUGUCGUAGAGAUUUUUACUUGAUUUUUGUUUUUUGUUUCUAUGCCAAUAUUUUUUUUUUAAUCAUGCAGUGUAUUUUCGUAUCCAUUGAAAUCACUUAACUUCUUAUGUUCUUAUGUAAAGGGAGAUUAAAAAAACUUGUGUUGUUUUUGAAAUCUCGAGCUUUCACACAAAACUUCUUAUAAAACCGAACUAGUAUGUUAAUUAUUAGUAUUUCCCAUUUUAUGUUAGCCUCUUUUUAAAGCAUGUGUUGGUCUUGAUGAUGAUGAUAUGGUGAUGAUACUAAAAUUGGGGUUUGUGGGUGUAGAGGCAUAUAAGUGUGUUCAAAAAUCGCAGGGAAAAAUCACAUGCUCAUGUGGUCCAGAUCUAAUACAUAGGUCAAGAAAGGAUCACAUGAGCGAACUAGAGUUGGCAUGUUUGUAAUUUUAGCUCCCUCUCUUUUGUUCUGUUUCCCAUAAGAAAAUAGGCGUUAAAGGCCUUUGUUCCAUUAGGAUCAAUAGAAUGUUACAGAAUGUUAUGUUCCUUCCUCUUUUUUGUUUCCUCGCAUCGCAUGAGGAUCAAAACGCUUUUUCUUUAGAGCUGUUUGGUGUUAGACUUUGAAGACUUUAUAGGUUCACAGCUUUUUUUUUGACCAAACAUGUUUUUUUUUUUAUUUUUUUUUUUUUAAUAUAAAUAACUCAGUGUACAUCUCAGAUCUGAUCUAUGGAAGGACUCAGACUAAUCCCUAGUGCAGCCCAUGGAUAGACUUUUUCUCUGGAUAUUCAAAUGGGCUGAAAAAAAAGGCUCAUAUCCAUUGAUGCAUGUGGAGAGAUGAUGAGGACAUCGAAACAAGCACCACACAAGCCGAUGAAAAGCUGAUAACAAUACCAACUAUGAGGCCCGCAUCAAGGACAAGGUCAGGCACUAAGAGCUUAAAAGAGGAUUUUAACAAAUCAAUAGAGGGGCUGAUCACGCUCAUAGAUCAUGAAAAACUCAAAGAGAAGCUACUCAAAGGGGUGAUCACUUGAGAAGCACCAAUGGAGCCAGUAACCCAGUUCAACACCUUAGAGACACAAGACUUGGAGAUCACGGCAGGAUCAAACUGUGUGGAGCUUAAAGACCUUCAAGAAUUCAAGGACACCAAAGAAACGCCAAACAAUGACUACUCUCAAAUUAAGCUUCAAGCUAUACUAUUUUUGCCGGUCUUACAAGGCAACAAGGAAGCAGCAUUGUUUGUCAUUGCCAAACAAGUGGAAGCUCCACUCUCCGAACCAAUGUGAGUAUUUACAUUACAGGUUAUUCUCACAAGUUUCUUGUUUGUUUUGCAGACACUUUUUCCUUAGUCGUUUUAGAGUUUUAGUAGUUUUUCCAUUUUUUUUCUUUUAAGUGAAACGAUAGGUUUAGUACUUUCCUUUUUGUAACAAUUUCGGCCAAAAGAA